UUCCCAUAUGCAUGUAUGUGUUAAUAUGUUAAUUUAGUUGUUAAUUGAUUCAAAAGCUCAAAAACUAAUGACACAACAAGACUAAUGGAAAUACAGAGCCGAAGUAAAAAGAAACACACACCGUGUUAAUUAUGUCAUCUGAUAUAAUACAAAACAAUUUUAACAUAUUGCAUGAUCAAUGAAAAGGAAGACAGAAGAGAGGAUGUUGUAAGAUUGUGACAGGUUAAACAACAAUAUGCAAAUGAGCAGGUAGGAGUGAAAGGGAUGGAAAAACACUUUGGAAAAACCAAAAAAUCAGAUCAUUUACUGUCAAAGUAAAGUGUCAUGGACAGUUUCAGAGACAUUCACUACAUCUGAUGUCCUCUAGAAGAUGAGAAUAAAAUACUGGGAUAUUCAGACAUUAUGAAAACACAGACUUGAGCUCUGACUGUACACACUUCUGAAUAUAAACCAGAAGCAGAUCUAGAGACACACCUCAGCUCUAGAAAAACACUCCAAAUCUAGAAAAAGACUUGAGAUCUAGAAAAACACUUCAGAUGUAGACACACACUUCAAAUCUAGAAAAACACUUCAAAUCUAGAGACACACCUCAGCUCUAGAAAAACACUUCAAAUCUAGAAAAAGACUUGAGAUCUAGAAAAACACUUCAAAUCUAGAGACACACUUUAGAUCUGGACAUACACUUCAAAUCUAGAAAACACUUAAGAUCUAGAAAAACACUUCAGAUGUAGACACACACUUCAAAUCUAGACACACUUCAGUUCUAGACACAAACUUUAGAUCUGGACAAGAUCUACUAAGACAUACACUUCAAAUCUAGAAAACACUUCAGAUCUAGAGACACACUUCAGAUCUAGAGACACACACUUCAGAUGUACACACACUUCAGAUUUACACACACUUCAGCACAUCUCAGACAGUGAAGUGUCGCUCUCUGCUGGAGAUCUUCAGUAUUACAGCAGCUCAUCAGAUCUCAUCUUCUGAAGCUUUGGAACAGUCCUGGUUUUGUUUCACUGCAGCUUCAGGAUAUAGCGAGCUCCAGGAGUAACUUUACAUCUCAAUCAUCUUCUAUAUCUUAAUGAAAUUAAAACAUUAAUAAAAAAGUCCUUGUAUUGAGAAUGAACACAGAGAUGAUUCUUCAGACAGUAUUCUUCUCUGAACAGACCUGUGUGUGUUUCAAGUCCCAGAGAAAGUAAUUUCACACACUGUUAACUCAAGCAUAAACAUUAGUUUAGUCUGUAAUCUGGUUAGAGCGUUUCCUCUGAUCUGAGGUCAGUUAUCGCAGUGAAGGCGGUCAGCAGACAGUCAGAUGGAGGACUGAACCCGUGACGGUCAUGAGAACUUCUCAAGAGCUUCGAGAGCCCCACACACACACACACACACACACAAAGAGCAGAAUCACAGCAGACGGAUCAGAUCAGGAGUUUGUUCAUCAUGUCUUACGGCGGAUCAGGUUCAGGAUCUCGAGGUGAAUUCAGCGUUCAUUUCUCCAGCAGAAGUGGAGCAGGACUCAUCAGAGCUGAAGAGGCUGCAGGGAUCGCUCUGCUGGCCGUGGUCCUCACCGCGCUGCUCAUCCUGGGCUGCUGGUAUUACCGCCGGAGGGGGGGUACAAGAUGAUCCGGAGCGAGAGAAACAGCAGUCAGUCGUGGAGAGAGAUGAUGAGAGCGGGUCAGUACAGCGAGUCUGGAUCCGGAGAAGAGAACAAACUAGCCUUGAAUGAGUUCAGCAACCUGCAACCAGCGAUCCCGAACGCUCCUCCAGCCUACGAUAAGAUCGUCUCCGGACCGUCUCCUCCUCCUUACUCCCCUUGAGACACAGACCAGCGACCGGCUGGAGUCCUGACCGAGGCUUUCUGACCGAAGCACGUGGACUAUAACAUCUGACACCGGUGCCUUUAAACACAACGCCAUUCAUCAGACACGAGGCUAAUAAAGUCUCAAAUUCAUUUAAUCCAAUAAAGUUAUUGUUAUUGUUUUCUUAGUUAUAGAUUUAUUCUGGUUUAAAUGUUGUUUAUUUCUGUUCACUUCUAAUUACCUAAUUUACUUGUAAUAAUUCAUCUUUAUCAAACAUAUCUGUAUGUUAUCUGACUGAAAGUGAACACCUGUCAUGAAACACUUCUUCACACUUCAUCACAAAUCUCUGACAUAUACGAGACAAACUAGGUUUCUGAAGAGAUGCUGAGCUGUUUUUGUGCAAACUGUUCAAUGCAACACAUUAAACAAUAAAAUACUGCAUUUGCUUUCAUUUCCCCUUUCAAGUGAAAAA